GGGCCCUGUCUGGGAGGGACAUGAGUCCUGUUGUGUGGAGUGUGUAUGUGUGGAGUGUUGUGGCGAGUGUUGUGUGGAGUGUUUUGUGUGUGUGUGGAGUGUCGUGUGGAGUGUUGUAUGUGUGUGUUGUGUGUGGAGUGUUCUAUGUAGAGUGUUGUGUGUAGAGUGAUGUGUGUGUGGAGUGUUGUGUGAGUGUGUGGAGUGUUGUGUGUGUGAGUGGAGUGUGUGUGAGUGUGUGGAGUGUUUUGUGUGUGUGUGGAGAGUUGUGUGUGUGUGGAGUGUCGUGUGUGUAGUGUUGUGUGUGUGAGUGGAGUGUGUGUGUGUGUGUAUAGAGUGUUGUGUGUGUGUGUGGAGUGUUGUGUGUGUGUAUAGAGUGUUGUGUGUGUGUGUGGAGUGUUGUGUGUGUGUGUUGUGUGAGUGGAGUGUGUGUGUGUGUGUAGUGUUGUGUGUGUGUGUGUGUGUGUGUUGUCGUGUGAGUGUGUGUAGUGUCGUGUGAGUGUGUGUAGUGUUGUGUGUGUGCACUGGGUGCCUGAGCGCCAUACUGGAGACUCAGAUGCUGCACGGAGGGGUCCUGAGGGGUCCUGAGGGGUCCUGAGGGGAGGUGGGCACAUAUUUGGCCGGAUGAAUCACCUCACUCACGUCACACAGAGGAGUGAAAGAACAGAGGAAAGGGAGAAAAAAUGAGGGAGCUGCACUUUACUGCACAGGGCCAUUAUAGCA
ensembl:lncRNA